rnacentral:rRNA from 1 species
GAUGAACGCUGGCGGCGUGCUUAACACAUGCAAGUCGAACGAAGCACUUUAUUUGAUUUCCUUCGGGACUGAUUAUUUUGUGACUGAGUGGCGGACGGGUGAGUAACGCGUGGGUAACCUGCCUUGUACAGGGGGAUAACAGUUGGAAACGGCUGCUAAUACCGCAUAAGCGCACGGCAUCGCAUGAUGCAGUGUGAAAAACUUCGGUGGUAUAAGAUGGACUCGCGUUGGAUUAGCUAGUUGGUGAGGUAACGGCCCACCAAGGCGACGAUCCAUAGCCGACCUGAGAGGGUGACCGGCCACAUUGGGACUGAGACACGGCCCAAACUCCUACGGGAGGCAGCAGUGGGGAAUAUUGCACAAUGGGCGAAAGCCUGAUGCAGCGACGCCGCGUGAGCGAAGAAGUAUUUCGGUAUGUAAAGCUCUAUCAGCAGGGAAGAUAAUGACGGUACCUGACGAAGAAGCACCGGCUAAAUACGUG